UCGUGGGGAACCCGGUGCUA
rnacentral:misc_RNA from 1 species